rnacentral:rRNA from 1 species
UAACGAAUCUUCCGCAAUGCGCGAAAGCGUGACGGAGCGACGCCGCGUGGAGGACGAAGUCCUUCGGGAUGUAAACUCCUGUCAGGGGUUACCAAGUUCUGAGGAGCCCCAGAGGAAGGCACGGCUAACUCUGUGCCAGCAGCCGCGGUAAGACAGAGGUGCCGAGCGUUAGGCGGAAUCACUGGGCUUAAAGCGUGUGUAGGCGGGCCGCUAAGUACCUUGUGAAAUCCCCCGGCUCAACCGGGGAACGGCUGGGUAGACUGGCGGCCUUGAGGCACCCAGGGGCGAGCGGAACAGGCGGUGGAGCGGUGAAAUGCGUAGAUAUCGCCUGGAACGCCGACGGUGAAAACAGCUCGCUGGGGGUGUGCUGACGCUGAGACACGAAAGCCAGGGGAGCGAACGGGAUUAGAUACCCCGGUAGUCC